AGUCUGACGGAGCACGCCGCGUGAGUGAUGAAGGCUUUCGGGUCGUAAAACUCUGUUGUUAGGGAAGAACAAGUGCUAGUUGAAUAAGCUGGCACCUUGACGGUACCUAACCAGAAAGCCACGGCUAACUACGUGCCAGCAGCCGCGGUAAUACGUAGGUGGCAAGCGUUAUCCGGAAUUAUUGGGCGUAAAGCGCGCGCAGGUGGUUUCUUAAGUCUGAUGUGAAAGCCCACGGCUCAACCGUGGAGGGUCAUUGGAAACUGGGAGACUUGAGUGCAGAAGAGGAAAGUGGAAUUCCAUGUGUAGCGGUGAAAUGCGUAGAGAUAUGGAGGAACACCAGUGGCGAAGGCGACUUUCUGGUCUGUAACUGACACUGAGGCGCGAAAGCGUGGGGAGCAAACAGGAUUAGAUACCCUGGUAGUCCACGCCGUAAACGAUGAGUGCUAAGUGUUAGAGGGUUUCCGCCCUUUAGUGCUGAAGUUAACGC
rnacentral:rRNA from 1 species